AGAGUUCGAUUAUGGCUCAGGACGAACGCUGGCGGCGCGCCUAACACAUGCAAGUCGAACGGAGCUUGGAGAGCUUGCUUUUUAAGCUUAGUGGCGAACGGGUGAGUAACGCGUGAGUAACCUGCCCUAGAGUGGGGGACAACAGUUGGAAACGACUGCUAAUACCGCAUAACAUAUAUUUAUCGCAUGGUAGAUAUAUCAAAGAUUUAUCGCUCAGAGAUGGACUCGCGUCCGAUUAGUUAGUUGGUGAGGUAACGGCUCACCAAGACCGCGAUCGGUAGCCGGACUGAGAGGUUGAACGGCCACAUUGGGACUGAGACACGGCCCAG
rnacentral:rRNA from 1 species